CACAGCCUUUCUGUCGCGGCAGUCGGACUAUGAUCCCAGCAUGCGCUGGGCUUAAGGGAGGUUCCCAGCCCUGGAGGAAGGGUCAACAGGGUGGGUCCCUCGCAAGGCGUCCUGGGAGUCAUAGUCCUUAAACGGUUUCCAGCACGUUGAUCGCAAGGCUACCGAACUACAAUGCCAGCAUGCACCGGGAUUGGGGCGGUGUGUAACGCUGGAGGGAAGGAUAGAGAGGCGCGUCCCUGGCCAGGGAUGCUGGGAGUUAUGGUCUCUUAAUGGUUUCCAGCGAUGGCCCCCGGCCUGCAGACUAAAAUCCCAGCAGCCACCGGGCUUCGAGGCGGUGUGUAGCACUGAAGGGAAGGAUAGGGAGGUGCGUCCUUAGCCAGGCGUGCUGGGAGUUAUGGUCUCUUAACAGUUUCCAGUCAGUUGGUCCCAGGAUUACCUGACUACAAUCCCAGCAUGCGUUGGGCUUGGGGGCGGUGCGCAGCCCUAGAGGAAGGAUCGGGACGGCGGGUACCUCGCAAGGCAUCCUGGGAGUCAUAGUCCUUUCAGUAUUUCCAGCCCAUUGGUCGCGAGGCUAACGGACUACAAUCUCAGCAUGCGCUGGGUUUGGGGGCGGUGUGUAGUAUGGAAGCGAAGGAUAGGGAGGCGCGUCCCUAGCUAGGAGUGCUGGGAGUUUUGGUGUCUUAACGGUUUCCAGCCCAUUGGUCGCCGACCUGCUAACUACAAAACCAGCAUGCGCUGUCUGUCCUCCCCCGUGGUGCGCAGCCCUGGAGGGAGGGACAGGGCGGUGUGGACCUCGUCCUUUCCUAAGCGAUGCCACAUGCUGAUUCUGUGCCACCCCCUCGCCAAGGGAGUCCGCAGAAGGACUUGAGGGGCAGGUCUAGGCUGGGCGAUGAGGACGGUGUGACCCUGCGAAGUGCACCUCCCUUGCUCAAAUCGGAGGGGUCUGGUCCUCACUGAACAGCCCGCUGAACAUCUCGGUGUCCUCUCACAUACACACCCGCGGGGGGUUUCCAGAGCAUCGCACCUCUUCCAGCCCAGGGAGCCGCCUGCUCUGCUAAACUCUAUGGGAACUGAGACAUCCACCUGCUGCGUGACCCACCCGUGCGCAACUUCAGAGCUUUCAGGGGGUGAUGCGGGCUGUGGCUCCUUCGUGAAAAUGUCACCGUCUGCAGCGCCUUUCUUGUGAUAUAGAACUUGACGGGUGAGAGCGGGUAUUUCUUGGGUUACUCAGGAUCUGCUAACAGCAGAGGAGAAAACCACAAUUCCCAGGCAUAAGAAUCUACCUAAAGAUGAUGGUUUAGAUAUUUUACAGUUGAAAUCACCAGCCUCAUCUCAACUGAGUCCUGACUGACGAGUGUCUCAAAAAAGCAGUUGGUGACCUCAUCCCUCAGGAACAGGUGGUGCUCCAGCUUUGUGGGGAUGACUUUCAAGGUGCAGAGCACUUGAGCCGCAUUUGAAGUCAUUCGUGUUUUACAUCUCUGCUUUGGAUGGAAAGUUGAUCCCCCACAGCCGUUGGGGAUGUACCUUAAUAUACUGGGGCUUAUCAGUUAAAUUUUUCUGUCUAGACAAUGAAAACCCAGAAGUUCCACUUGCAGGUAGCCUCUUAAUAAUCGACGUUCCUAAGUUCCUUAUGUCCUCAGGAUAGUUCCUUUUGUUCCCAGAUGUUACCAACUUUGAUGAUGCAUCUAAUCUGUACAAACCUGUGUAUUUCUCUAUGUGAAAAGAAUACUUUGUUCAAAUUACAUGUUCUUAUAAAUUUCACUUGUGAUCGGUGAGUAUGGGACACUAUAAAAAAAUCCUGAAAAACCUCAUCAUAGCAAUUGAAUCACGUUACUGUACUUUAUGAGGAAUUAACCCCUUCAGGAUGAAUUACUCAUGGGUUCAUCAGCACAUUUGUGAAGAAAGGAAGAAAAACUGUAUGGCCUUUAUGAAAUUGGAAAAAUAAAGAACUAUAUAUAGGAGGACCACAGCACAAUACUAGGACCCUUCUCUUAUUUUAAAUAGACUCUAUGGGGUCGAAUGCCUGCAUUCCUAACCUAUCCUGCAGUAUUCUCAUCCUACUCUUCACUGUGUAUUUAGGUGGGGGUUUCUGAAUUCACUUGUCCACAGCGUUAGUGGGGAUGUUGUAACGUGAGGGUAUCCAUCAUCUAUCAUCUUAAUAAUUAAUGAAGAGAAGAGCCUUGAGAUCUGUCUUCAGAUACACUGCUGUCGAGUAUGUGCCUGCAAAGACACUGCCCACACCGGUGGUCUCAGAAAGUUGAACCUGAUGCCACCACAAGCUGCUGUUCACAGAUCUAGGUGCUCCUUGUGAUUUGAGUCUCCUGCUUACAUUUGUGGUUGUGAACCUGCUAUGCUCACGCCAUUUAUGGUUCCUGUGAAUGAAGUUGCAAAUAUUGAUGAAGAUAAUACUACUGCCUUGCUGUCAAACAGUAACAGUCACCUUUUUUUGUAUCUCCAAUUAUAAAUGCAAUACAUACUGUAAAAAGAAAAGAAAACAUCAUAAAUAUCUUUAUAAAG